AUGCGGAGACCCCCGAGAGCAGGACUAGAGGUGUUAUCUCCUAGGAGAGCCCCGAACCUGGGUAAAGUGCGCCGGUGUUCGUGUCUACGCCUCAUCCCGCUUCCAGGCACCGGCGACGUUCUACUCGCUCCCACCAUGAUAAGCCAUCCAUUGGCAUAUGUCGCACCCAACCCCCGACAUUUGGCGCCCACCAUGGGGCAAGGUGCACCGUCUCCCGGAGACCUGUUUUGGACGGGAACCUUGUUCCUUCCUGGCGAGCUCAGCCAGCCCAGCACGCCAGACGGCGUCUGCGCUGACGCGCUGCAAGGCGCGGAGGUCGCCUGUGCGGCGAGCUACCUCGCCGAUCUUGUUGGCGAGAUCCGCCUCUCCGACGAGCCCGCAUCCGACGCGGGCACAGAAGGCCCCGAGAGCCGCCUCGUUAGCCUCCUCGAUCAGCUCCACGUCGGCAGCGAGCCUGCUGUGGACUUGGAGUCGGUCGGCUCCACCGACCCGAUGCUUGUCGACUCCGACACAGCGUCGCUUGACGCGUUCCCCACCAACAUGGUGGUCUCCGACGAACCGCUUCCUCGCGCGGACAGCGGUGGUAGCACCGUCACGGAGGUGCUCGUCAUCAACCACGGCGAGCACUCUGGCGGGGGUGGCCCGGAUCCGUUGCAGGCGGCGAUGCAAGGCCUGACUGCGCCCAUCCCGGAAGACGCUGAAGUCGAGAGGCUGGAGGCACGCCGUGUCCAGCUCGUCGAAAGCGCCAACCGGCUGGCCAGCAUGAGACGCCUUUCGGAGGCCUACCAGCGUGAGAUGGACCGUGCCGUCGGCGGCACGCCGGCUCCUGGUGGGCCUAGCCGUAUUGGCCAGAUCCGACAGCGUGGCGCGACCAUCGCCAGCAUGUUCAAGACAGAUCGUCCCGUCUACGCCACGCCUGCGGAGAACAUACGAGCUGCCCAGGCGGCAGCAGACGAGCUAGAAAAGCUCGAGGGCGACGAGCGUCACCACAUGACGGAGCGCGUCCAGCAGCUCCUUGACGCGGCUGCUGAGCAGCAAGAGGCCGGGUGCCGCACUGAAGCACCCAACCGGCGAAACGACGACCCGCCUCCCCGCCGGACCAAGGCGCGACAUCCCGGACACCGACUGGUGGCGUCCGCGGUAGAAGAGACAAGGAGCCGGCUGCCAGCCGCAGCCAGACUCGCAUCACCAUCGAGCGCGACCAAUACGGCCGCCCAAGAGGAGUGGAACGACGGGACGACUGUCCGCCUCCACCUCCCCCCUGCAGGGAGAGGUGCGUCUCCCCGCCGCCUGUUGAUCACCCGACACUCGGCGACCGCCUUGGCCGCCGAGAAGGAGUCGGAGAGAACGAUGCCCGCCAUCAGAUCGACCGCCUCAACCGAUCCCUGGCGCUAG
rnacentral:rRNA from 1 species